GAUGAACGCUGGCGGCGUGCCUAAUACAUGCAAGUCGAGCGAAUGGAUUAAGAGCUGCUCUAUGAAGUUAGCGGCGGACGGGUGAGUAACACGUGGGUAACCUGCCCAUAAGACUGGGAUAACUCCGGGAAACCGGGGCUAAUACCGGAUAACAUUUUGAACCGCAUGGUUCGAAAUUGAAAGGCGGCUUCGGCUGUCACUUAUGGAUGGACCCGCGUCGCAUUAGCGAGUUGGUGAGGUAACGGCUCACCAAGGCAACGAUGCGUAGCCGACCUGAGAGGGUGAUCGGCCACACUGGGACUGAGACACGGCCCAGACUCCUACGGGAGGCAGCAGUAGGGAAUCUUCCGCAAUGGACGAAAGUCUGACGGAGCAACGCCGCGUGAGUGAUGAAGGCUUUCGGGUCGUAAAACUCUGUUGUUAGGGAAGAACAAGUGCUAGUUGAAUAAGCUGGCACCUUGACGGUACCUAACCAGAAAGCCACGGCUAACUACGUGCCAGCAGCCGCGGUAA
rnacentral:rRNA from 1 species